rnacentral:rRNA from 1 species
UGUUGGGUUAAGUCCCGCAACGAGCGCAACCCCCGUCGCAUGUUGCCAGCAUUUAGUUGGGGACUCAUGCGAGACUGCCGGUGACAAACCGGAGGAAGGUGGGGAUGACGUCAAGUCAUCAUGCCCCUUAUGUCCAGGGCUACACACGUGCUACAUUGGCGCGUACAGAGGGCUGCGAUACCGCGAGGUGGAGCGAAUCCCUUAAAGCGCGUCUCGGUUCGGAUUGCAGGCUGAAACCCGCCUGCAUGAAGGCGGAGUUGCUAGUAAUCGCGGAUCAGCAUUGCCGCGGUGAAUACGUUCCCGGGCCUUGUACACACCGCCCGUCACACCAUGGAAGCAAGUAACACCCGAAGCCGGUGGCCUAACCCUUUUGG